GCGGUUUACGCAUAGUGAGUCACACUCAGGACACUCCGAGGUAUCUCGAGGAUAUGAACAAGGAUACGCAAUGGAAUGGAAAAACCAUGGAUAUGAAAUUUACAAGGAAAUCAAGGGGGAAAAGGACUUUGAAAGAAAGAUGAAGGAGGCAGAUACAGUAGGAACACUAAGUUCAAAGCUUUACAAGCAGCGUACUUCUAAUAACA